UACAGAGGGGGCGAGCGUUGUUCGGAAUUACUGGGCGUAAAGGGCGCGUAGGCGGCCCGCUAAGUCGAACGUGAAAUCCCCAGGCUCAACCUGGGAACUGCGUCCGAUACUGGCAGGCUUGAAUCCGGGAGAGGGAUGUGGAAUUCCAGGUGUAGCGGUGAAAUGCGUAGAUAUCUGGAGGAACACCAAUGGCGAAGGCAGCUCGCUGGGACGGUACUGACGCUGAGGCGCGCAAGCGUGGGGAGCAAACAGG
rnacentral:rRNA from 1 species